UUCAACUCGUCUUAGAGUUAGGGGACCUCUAUGAUCUCAAUUCAUACUCAAAUAGAUUCCCACACUACAUAAUUGAUUGACACACUAAAUUUGCAUUGGAUUUAUGGCUUUUGAAACCUUUAUGCGAAGGAAUGACGAUUUUCGUUCCAGCCCAAAAUGCGGGGUGUUACAACUAGUUUGUUGAAUCAACUGCAUAUGGAAACUUUUGAGAAAUCUAAUGACUUCAAAUUAAGCCUCAAUGAAGAACCUGCGAUUACAUAAAGGGUAUGUCUAUGUCCCAAUCCGGUGCCUUCCUAAGGAGGAGGAAGUUGCUCCAGAUGAUUGUUCUGGAGAACCACUGGAUCCUGAUGGAUAGGUUUUAGCUCAGUAAUUAUAGGAUUUUGGUACCUGUAUCUACCAUUUUACUGCUGGUACACCAUUUUUAUCUGAGCCAUCGUGAAGGAUGGCUUAUUUAAAGAUAAUUGAUGACAACAAGCAUCUUUCCAGGAGCCAUCAAGAUUAGGUCGAGAACGGUAGUAUUGUAUAUUCAGAGCUUACUGUACAGUUGAUCUUGGAGUGGUUUGAAUGGCUCUUCCAUGAUGGGUGUUUAUUUUGAGCUGGUUGGUAAGGAUACCUCUGCUUCUUGUAAUUGUAUACAGUAUUUAGAAGGUAUUCCCUACUACAGCCUUGUAAAGUUAUUGUAAUUAUUCUUACAAUAUUAAUUGAAAGCAAUUAGAGCAGAGCAAUGAGUUUAAUUUAUCAUGCCCAGAUCCUGCGUUUUCUUGUAGUGGUUUCAGGUGGCAGUUUCAGUUGCAGUCGUGUAAAUCUAGCACUUUUUCUUUGUUCUCAUUUGGUAGAUCUUGGCAUUGCCACACCUUACUGCGCAGUCUGAGCGCAUAGUUAUUUGUUUGAGUUGUUGCAUUGCAUUCUUGGAUCCUUCAUUUCGUAUCCUUUUUAUCUCAAUAGCUAUUAUGGAAACUACACUGUGUAAUGUUGUUUAUUCUUUUUUAAACAGUAAUUUACCUGUGUUUUGAUUUUCAGUUUCUCGUCAGUUGUGUCUAUUACAAAAAAGUGUAUCUGUUGGAGUGAAUUCUAUUGAUUGUUUCAUUGGUUACCGAGAAUUUACAGCUGAGAUGUUCUGCCAACUACCGUCGUUAAAUGUGGAUGAUGGUUGUUAAGACACUUUCGACAAGCUUGUGCUUAGCUAUAUUCUGCUAUUGUAAUAUUUUGUGUUGUUUAUUAAUGCUACUACUAAACUUUCUAUUCUUUGGGUCCUUUAUCUUUCUUCUUGGUCUAGUGGUCUGAAACAAUGAUUGGUACGGGUUCACAGGUAAAGAUUAGUUUUACAACUGAUUAUGUUGUCUUCGAUGGGUCUUAUUACUUAUUUGAUGAUGGUUACGCAUCUUUUGGUGCUCUUGUUUGAGUAGCAGCAGAAAUUUGAUCCUUACCUAUUGUGAAUUUUCUGAAGCAGUAUUCGUGUUUUACAAUUAUAAGACAAGCGUGACUUUCUAUGUAAGAAGCGCUUGUGGAGCAAUUUUUUCUUGUUGAGCCUGCUGAAUUAUCUUGUUGAGUAAUUGUCUCAUUCUAUUGAUUAGUCAAAAGAAUGAGAGUUGCAAGAUAUUGAGUACGGGAGGAAGGAAAGGAUUGGAACCGCCAAGAGAAGGGACUGGUUAAGCAGCAAGUCUUUGGUGGGGAUAGACGGUGUUUGAGGUCCAUAGAUUCUUUUGCCAAAUGUUAUUAUGUAGAAUGACUGCCUAUCCUUAUUCUCAUUGGACGAACAUUUAUUGAAGUGAUACGUGUCAAAAUCUCAGAUGAGUCAGUACUUUAUGCUUCUUCCUUGAACUAUAUCGUUGUGCUGAUGUUUAUAUUAUUGUAGAGAAAUGCAAGAAAAUUUAAGGGAUAUGAGUGAAGACAAAAAAAACCAAAGGUGGCUUUUUGUAACUGAAGACGAUAUAAAAAGCCUACCUUGUUUUCAGAAUAAGACUCUAAUAGCAGUUAAAUCUCCUCACGGCACCACCCUGGAAGUCUCGAAUCCUGGUGAGGCUGUGGACUAUCCACAGAGGAGAUAUAGAAUUAUACUCAGAAGCACAAUGGGCCCGAUUGACGUCUACCUUAUCAGUCAAUUUAAGGAGAAGUUUGAGGAGAUGAAUGGUGUUGAACCGUCAACGACCAUCCCAGAUGCUUCAAGUUCAGGCUCAAAGGAUUAUCCAGCCACGGAGAUAUUAAUUGUUUCAAACAAUGUUACCGAGAAUGGAGGACAAACACAAAAUGUUGAUCAGUUAAGUUCUGAUGUCGGUACUUCAGAGGAUUACGGUGGUGGAAUGAUGAAAAUUGUCCCUUCAGAUGUUGAUAUGUACGGGUUCUAAGUGUUGCUGCGUGGCAAAAAUGCACUACUAUAUUAAUUCUUGAAUUCCUCCGUUGUUGUGCUAAUGCUUUGUGUUUGUUGCUGGACGCAGCAGAUUACUUGUUCCUAUCAGAUGCAAAUGUAAGCAUCACAGAUAUGUGGAAGAAUGAUUCUACAGUUGAAUGGGAUGGAGAAAGCUUGCUCCGUAAUUUUGGAAUAGAUAAUCUAGCUAGCCCAUGACCACACACUCCCUCUACUAAUGCUGACGUACCAACUCCAAUGAACAUGCCACCAAGAUGAUAUGCAUAGUGGAUGCAUUAGCGUCAGAAUUUUAAGUCUCGACAUGCAGACUAAAUACAAUGAAUCAACUGGUUUAUGUACACUGCAAGCUAUAGAGUGGGAUCCUCUUGUGCUUCUGGUUUUCCCCCCUGCCUCCCUCAGAUUAGAGCUUCUUCAAAGCGAUGCACUUAAGCAUGUAUUUGCAAGUAGGAUUGCUGAUAUAAAUAAUUCUCCGCAUUGGAAUCUGUUAUCAUUUAUUUCAUGUGCUUGUAAUGGUUUGGUUCUGAUGGACGACUCAUUGCAACUUCUUCCUGCUAUUGAAACUCUUGAUUUGAGAAGAAACAAGUUCACCAGGAUAAUUUGUGGAAGUGUACCAAAUUGAAGCAUCUGGAUCUUGGGUUCAACCAGCUGAGAAACAUUGCUUCUUUUAGUGGGGUAAAUAUUGCAUGUUCAUCCUGAAAAUUUCAAUAGUAUAAUGCUUUACUAUCUGGUAAAAAGAACAAUAUUUGCUAUGAGUAUUGAAAGAACUUCACAUGUUGUUGCUGGUUGCAAUCGUAGAACUUCUUAAGUUUGUGCUUGACCAAGCUGCGAAUCAUCUGAAGUACUUGAUUUCUUAGAGACUUGUUAGUUGUGGAAUGCCUCUACAAGUUUUCAAACUUUUUCAUUUACUUCAGUAUUGAGUCUAUAGCUAUUGAUGUAUGAUUCUAUGAUCUAAAUGUAAAACUUUCAGUUGCUUUCUUGUCCUCAAGAAAUGCUCAUUAAGGUUUCAAUACUGCUUUUCAAGUAUUGAUGAUGGCUUAUAAACAUGGAUGCAAUUUUGCCGCCUACCUUAAAUAAGUGUAUUCUUUUUUGAAGUGAAUAGGAGUUUUCAACUUGCCUUAAAUACUCACGUUAAUAUUCUUUUCAAGUGAAUGUUUCUGAAUAUAAUUCAUAUAAAAUUCUAAGUUUCGAAAAUCACAUAUAUCUAUAAAAAGAAUAACAAUAAACCUACAAUUGAGUUUGCCUCGACGGCCACAACUCUAUUGCUUACAACUUUGUUUCUUAUCAAGUUAUCAACCGCGUUCCUUUAUUUAUUUUAAGCUGAUUUGAUUCUUCUUUGAUUUUACUACAAUUUCAGUGGUUUUCUAAGUUCUAUUUUUAAUUUUUGCAUCAUAUUUUUACUUCUCCUGUAUUUGUUUUGUGGGGUGAGGAGAUAGGAUAUGAUUGUUUGAUCUAGCUUUCUCAUAUCAUUGGUCACAACUUCUGUUAUGUGAAAUCCAAAGAUAAAAUUCUCGUGUAUAUUCUAGGGUCUAAAAUACACACUAACUGAGAAAGUUUGAUUUGUAUGAAAGUAAGCUUUCUGCAGUAUGUGAGUGUUCUUGAUAGGUGUUGACACCUUCUACUGCUGGAGGUGAAGGACGUGACAACAUGACCAUAUGAUUUUGGUGCAAGUCAAGAAACCUUUUCAGUUUGGGGCUUCUUUUGUUGAAGAACUCCAACUUGUAGCAACAAAUGUUACAUCAAUGUAAUACUUUUAGUAUCUAUAUAAUUAACAAAGUAAUCUUUGUUUCACAUAAUAUGAACAUAACGUUACUGCUUUCUUUACCAUUAAAGUCCCAUUCGUGCAUCGCAUGGGCACUGAUCAUCUAGAAUAUAUAUAUAUAAAUAUGGGGAAAAUUCCUCGUUUUCGUCGUCCUCACAGGGGGUGUAAUAGAAAUUUCAGCUUUA